UUACGAUCAUAUCACGUUGAAACGCCGGUUCUCGUACGAUCACCGAAGUUAAGCAACGUCGAUCCUGGUCAGUACCUAGAUGAAUGACCGCUCAGGAAUAUCUGGUGCUGUAAG